rnacentral:rRNA from 1 species
UCGAGAAUCUUCGGCAAUGGGCGCAAGCCUGACCGAGCGACGCCGCGUGCGGGAUGAAGGCCUUCGGGUUGUAAACCGCUGUCGUAGGGGAGGAAGGUUUGGUGUAUAGCCAAGCUUGACCGAUCCUAGGAGGAAGGGCCGGCUAAUCUCGUGCCAGCAGCCGCGGUAAUACGAGAGGCCCAAACGUUAUUCGGAAUUACUGGGCUUAAAGAGUUCGUAGGCGGCAUGAAAAGCAGGGUGUGAAAGCCCUCGGCUCAACCGAGGAAUUGCGCUCUGAACUGUCGUGCUAGAGGAAUCUAGAGGUGAGCGGAACUGAUGGUGGAGCGGUGAAAUGCGUUGAUAUCAUCAGGAACACCGGAGGCGAAGGCGGCUCACUGGGGAUUUUCUGACGCUGAGGAACGAAAGCCAGGGGAGCGAACGGG